CUCUGGUGGCGAGUGGCGAACGGGUGAGUAAUAUAUCGGAACGUACCCUGGAGUGGGGGAUAACGUAGCGAAAGUUACGCUAAUACCGCAUACGAUCUAAGGAUGAAAGUGGGGGAUCGCAAGACCUCAUGCUCGUGGAGCGGCCGAUAUCUGAUUAGCUAGUUGGUAGGGUAAAAGCCUACCAAGGCAUCGAUCAGUAGCUGGUCUGAGAGGACGACCAGCCACACUGGAACUGAGACACGGUCCAGACUCCUACGGGAGGCAGCAGUGGGGAAUUUUGGACAAUGGGCGAAAGCCUGAUCCAGCAAUGCCGCGUGAGUGAAGAAGGCCUUCGGGUUGUAAAGCUCUUUUGUCAGGGAAGAAACGGUGAGAGCUAAUAUCUCUUGCUAAUGACGGUACCUGAAGAAUAAGCACCGGCUAACUACGUGCCAGCAGCCGCGGUAAUACGUAGGGUGCAAGCGUUAAUCGGAAUUACUGGGCGUAAAGCGUGCGCAGGCGGUUUUGUAAGUCUGAUGUGAAAUCCCCGGGCUCAACCUGGGAAUUGCAUUGGAGACUGCAAGGCUAGAAUCUGG
rnacentral:rRNA from 1 species